GAUGAACGCUGGCGGCGUGCCUAAUACAUGCAAGUCGAGCGAACAGACGAGGAGCUUGCUCCUCUGACGUUAGCGGCGGACGGGUGAGUAACACGUGGAUAACCUACCUAUAAGACUGGGAUAACUUCGGGAAACCGGAGCUAAUACCGGAUAAUAUAUUGAACCGCAUGGUUCAAUAGUGAAAGACGGUUUUGCUGUCACUUAUAGAUGGAUCCGCGCCGCAUUAGCUAGUUGGUAAGGUAACGGCUUACCAAGGCAACGAUGCGUAGCCGACCUGAGAGGGUGAUCGGCCACACCUGAACUGAGACACGGUCCAGACUCCUACGGGAGGCAGCAGUAGGGAAACUUCCGCAAUGGGCGAAAGCCUGACGGAGCAACGCCGCGUGAGUGAUGAAGGUCUUCGGAUCGUAAAACUCUGUUAUUAGGGAAGAACAAAUGUGUAAGUAACUAUGCACGUCUUGACGGUACCUAAUCAGAAAGCCACGGCUAACUACGUG
rnacentral:rRNA from 1 species